rnacentral:pre_miRNA from 14 species
UACACUGGGGUACGGUGAGGUAGUAGGUUGUAUAGUUUAGAAUAUUACUCUCGGUGAACUAUGCAAGUUUCUACCUCACCGAAUACCAGGUUCUCAACUG